rnacentral:rRNA from 1 species
AGAGGGUGCAAACGUUGCUCGGAUUUACUGGGGCGUAAAGCGCGUGUAGGCGGACUCGCAAGUCGGUUGUGAAAUCCCUGGGGCUCAACCUAGGGAACUGCAUCCGAAACUGCUUGUCUUGAGUAAUGGAGAGGGUGGCGGAAUUCCCGGUGUAGAGGUGAAAUUCGUAGAUAUCGGGAGGAACAUCAGUGGCGAAGGCGGCCACCUGGACAUUUACUGACGCUGAGACGCGAAAGCGUGGGGAGCAAACAGGAUUAGAUACCCUGGUAGUCCACGCCGUAAACGAUGAGCACUAGGUGCAGCGGAUAUUGACCUCUGCUGUGCCGUAGCUAACGCGUUAAGUGCUCCGCCUGGGGAGUACGGCCGCAAGGCUA